rnacentral:rRNA from 1 species
AUUGAACGCUGGCGGCAGGCCUAGCACAUGCAAGUCGAGCGGAUGACGGGAGCUUGCUCCUUGAUUCAGCGGCGGACGGGUGAGUAAUGCCUAGGAAUCUGCCUGGUAGUGGGGGACAACGUUUCGAAAGGAACGCUAAUACCGCAUACGUCCUACGGGAGAAAGCAGGGGACCUUCGGGCCUUGCGCUAUCAGAUGAGCCUAGGUCGGAUUAGCUAGUUGGUGAGGUAAUGGCUCACCAAGGCGACGAUCCGUAACUGGUCUGAGAGGAUGAUCAGUCACACUGGAACUGAGACACGGUCCAGACUCCUACGGGAGGCAGCAGUGGGGAAUAUUGGACAAUGGGCGAAAGCCUGAUCCAGCCAUGCCGCGUGUGUGAAGAAGGUCUUCGGAUUGUAAAGCACCUUAAGUUGGGAGGAAGGGCAGUAAGUUAAUACCUUGCUGUUUUGACGUUACCGACAGAAUAAGCACCGGCUAACUCUGUGCCAGCCGCCGCCGUAAGAC